rnacentral:rRNA from 1 species
GACGAACGCUGGCGGCGUGCUUAACACAUGCAAGUCGAACGGAAAGGCCCUGCUUUUGGGGGGUUCUCGAGUGGCGAACGGGUGAGUAACACGUGAGUAACCUGCCCUUGACUUUGGGAUAACUUCAGGAAACUGGGGCUAAUACCGGAUAGGAGCUCCUGCUGCAUGGUGGGGGUUGGAAAGUUUGGGCGGUUGGGGAUGGACUCGCGGCUUAUCAGCUUGUUGGUGGGGUAGUGGCUUACCAAGGCUUUGACGGGUAGCCGGCCUGAGAGGGUGACCGGCCACAUUGGGACUGAGAUACGGCCCAGACUCCUACGGGAGGCAGCAGUGGGGAAUAUUGCACAAUGGGCGGAAGCCUGAUGCAGCAACGCCGCGUGCGGGAUGACGGCCUUCGGGUUGUAAACCGCUUUCGCCUGUGACGAAGCGUGAGUGACGGUAAUGGGUAAAGAAGCACCGGCUAACUACGUG